rnacentral:tRNA from 1 species
CUUUAGCGCAAUGGAUAGCGCGUUGGAUUUCUAAUCCAAAGGUCAUGGGUUCGAAUCCCACCUGAAAGG